AGCGAACGCUGGCGGCAGGCUUAACACAUGCAAGUCGAGCGGGCAUCCUUGUGGUGUCAGCGGCAGACGGGUGAGUAACGCGUGGGAACGUGCCCUUCGGUUCGGAAUAACUCAGGGAAACUUGAGCUAAUACCGGAUACGUGCGAGAGCAGAAAGGUUUAUCUGCCGAAGGAUCGGCCCGCGUCUGAUUAGCUAGUUGGUGAGGUUAUGGCUCACCAAGGCGACGAUCAGUAGCUGGUCUGAGAGGAUGAUCAGCCACACUGGGACUGAGACACGGCCCAGACUCCUACGGGAGGCAGCAGUGGGGAAUAUUGGACAAUGGGGGCAACCCUGAUACAGCCAUGCCGCGUGAGUGAUGACGGCCUUAGGGUUGUAAAGCUCUUUUCUUCGGGACGAUAAUGACGGUACCGGAGGAAUAAGCCCCGGCUAACUUCGUG
rnacentral:rRNA from 1 species